rnacentral:rRNA from 1 species
UGCGAAGGGGGCUAGCGUUGCUCGGAAUUACUGGGCGUAAAGCGCACGUAGGCGGCUUUGUAAGUUAGAGGUGAAAGCCUGGAGCUCAACUCCAGAAUUGCCUUUAAGACUGCAUCGCUUGAAUCCAGGAGAGGUGAGUGGAAUUCCGAGUGUAGAGGUGAAAUUCGUAGAUAUUCGGAAGAACACCAGUGGCGAAGGCGGCUCACUGGACUGGUAUUGACGCUGAGGUGCGAAAGCGUGGGGAGCAAACAGG